CAGCCGCCGCGGUAAUACGUAGGGUGCGAGCGUUAAUCGGAUUUACUGGGCGUAAAGCGUGCGCAGGCGGCCCGUUAAGACAGGUGUGAAAUCCCUGGGCUCAACCUAGGAAUUGCGCUUGUGACUGGCGGGCUCGAGUACGGUAGAGGGGGGUGGAAUUCCUGGUGUAGCAGUGAAAUGCGUAGAGAUCAGGAGGAACACCGAUGGCGAAGGCAGCCCCCUGGGCCUGUACUGACGCUCAUGCACGAAAGCGUGGGGAGCAAACAGGAUUAGAUACCCUGGUAGUCCACGCCCAAAACGAUGGGUACUAGCCGUUUGGUGCGCGAUAGCGCUGAGUGGCGAAGCUAACGCGUGAAGUACCCCGCCUGGGGAGUACGGCCGCAAGGUUGAAACUUAAAGGAAUUGGCGGG
rnacentral:rRNA from 1 species